AGUAUGGGAAGCAAACGGUGGCGAAGUUAAAACUUCAACUAGUUGAAAGAGGAGCCUCCACUAGAGGAAAGAAACAGGAUUUGGUAGAAAGGUCACAGAGAAGGAAGUGUCAGAACUUGAAAACAGAACUAGAGGCCAAAGUAAAAGUCGAGUGUGGCAUGAAGAAAGAUCAUGGAGAAUAACAGCAUCGAGGUUUGGUGAUAUUUUGAACGCGACCAAAAGACAAGACAAGGACAAAUUAUGCCAGUCACUGUUGUUUACCCAUGAAAUCAAUACUCCAUAUUUCUUAAAAUGUACAGACAUAUAGUCGUCAACAAUGUCACG